AACGAACGCUGGCGGCAUGCCUAACACAUGCAAGUCGAACGAGACCUUCGGGUCUAGUGGCGCACGGGUGCGUAACGCGUGGGAACCUGCCCUUAGGUUCGGAAUAACUCCCCGAAGGGGGUGCUAAUACCGGAUAAUGUCUUCGGACCAAAGAUUUAUCGCCUUUGGAUGGGCCCGCGUUGGAUUAGCUAGUUGGUAGGGUAAAAGCCUACCAAGGCGACGAUCCAUAGCUGGUCUGAGAGGAUGAUCAGCCACACUGGGACUGAGACACGGCCCAGACUCCUACGGGAGGCAGCAGUGGGGAAUAUUGGACAAUGGGCGAAAGCCUGAUCCAGCAAUGCCGCGUGAGUGAUGAAGGCCUCAGGGUUGUAAAGCUCUUUUACCCGGGAUGAUAAUGACAGUACCGGGAGAAUAAGCUCCGGCUAACUCCGUG
rnacentral:rRNA from 1 species